rnacentral:rRNA from 1 species
GGGUAUAAGCUCUUUCGCAAGGGAAGAAACUUAUGAUCGAGUAAUCAUGAGGUUGACGGUACCUUGAUAAGAAGCACCGGCUAACUACGUGCCAGCAGCCGCGGUAAUACGUAGGGUGCGAGCGUUAAUCGGAAUUACUGGGCGUAAAGCGUGCGCAGGCGGUUUUGUAAGUCGGAUGUGAAAUCCCCGGGCUCAACCUGGGAACUGCGUUCGAAACUGCAAGGCUAGAGUGUGUCAGAGGGGGGUAGAAUUCCACGUGUAGCAGUGAAAUGCGUAGAGAUGUGGAGGAAUACCAAUGGCGAAGGCAGCCCCCUGGGAUAACACUGACGCUCAUGCGCGAAAGCGUGGGGAGCAAACAGGAUUAGAUACCCUGGUAGUCCACGCCCUAAACGAUGUCAACUAGUUGUCGGUCGAGUACCAUCUAUGAGUAACGUAGCUUACGCGUGACGUUGACCGCCUGGGGAGUACGGUCGCAA